rnacentral:tRNA from 1 species
GCACCAUUAGCUCAGCUGGUAGAGCACCUGACUCUUAAUCAGGGUGUCCACAGUUCGAACCUGUGAUGGUGUACCA